rnacentral:rRNA from 1 species
UACGUAGGGUGCAAGCGUUUGUCCGGAAUUAUUGGGCGUAAAGAGCUCGUAGGCGGUUUGUCGCGUCUGCUGUGAAAACUCGGGGCUCAACCCCGGGCCUGCAGUGGGUACGGGCAGACUAGAGUGCGGUAGGGGAGACUGGAAUUCCUGGUGUAGCGGUGAAAUGCGCAGAUAUCAGGAGGAACACCGGUGGCGAAGGCGGGUCUCUGGGCAGUAACUGACGCUGAGGAGCGAAAGCGUGGGGAGCGAACAGG